rnacentral:rRNA from 1 species
GUCUCAGUUCGGAUUGGAGUCUGCAACCCGACUCCAUGAAGCUGGAUUCGCUAGUAAUCGCGCAUCAGCCACGGCGCGGUGAAUACGUUCCCGGGCCUUGUACACACCGCCCGUCAAGCCAUGGAAGCCGGGAGUGCCUGAAGUACGCGACCGCAAGGAGCGUCCUAAGGUAAAACCGGUGACUGGGGCUAAGUCGUAACAAGGUAGC